CCUACGGGAGGCAGCAGUGGGGAAUCUUGCGCAAUGGGCGAAAGCCUGACGCAGCAACGCCGCGUGCGGGAAGAAGGCUUUCGGGCUGUAAACCGCUUUCAGCAGGAACGAAAAUGACGGUACCUGCAGAAGAAGGAGCGGCCAACUAUGUGCCAGCAGCCGCGGUGAUACAUAGGCUUCAAGCGUUGUCCGGAUUUAUUGGGCGUAAAGAGUUCGUAGGCGGUCGAGUAAGUCGGGUGUGAAAAUUCUGGGCUCAACCCAGAGACGCCACCCGAUACUGCUUAACUUGAGUUCGAUAGGGGAGUGGGGAAUUCCUAGUGUAGCGGUGAAAUGCGCAGAUAUUAGGAGGAACACCGGUGGCGAAGGCGCCACUCUGGAUCGAUACUGACGCUGAGGAACGAAAGCAUGGGUAGCAAACAGGAUUAGAUACCCUGGUAGUCCAUGCCGUAAACGGUGGGCACUAGGUGUGGGAUUCUAUUAACGAAUUCCGCGCCGUCGCUAACGCAUUAAGUGCCCCGCCUGGGGAGUACGGUCGCAAGACUAAAACUCAAAGGAAUUGA
rnacentral:rRNA from 1 species